AUUGAACGCUGGCGGCAUGCCUUACACAUGCAAGUCGAACGGCAGCACGGGAGCAAUCCUGGUGGCGAGUGGCGAACGGGUGAGUAAUAUAUCGGAACGUGCCCAGUCGUGGGGGAUAACGUAGCGAAAGCUACGCUAAUACCGCAUACGAUCUAUGGAUGAAAGCGGGGGAUCGCAAGACCUCGCGCGAUUGGAGCGGCCGAUAUCAGAUUAGGUAGUUGGUGAGGUAAAGGCUCACCAAGCCGACGAUCUGUAGCUGGUCUGAGAGGACGACCAGCCACACUGGGACUGAGACACGGCCCAGACUCCUACGGGAGGCAGCAGUGGGGAAUUUUGGACAAUGGGCGCAAGCCUGAUCCAGCAAUGCCGCGUGCAGGAUGAAGGCCUUCGGGUU
rnacentral:rRNA from 1 species